UGGGGAAUAUUGCACAAUGGGCGCAAGCCUGAUGCAGCCAUGCCGCUUGUAUGAAGAAGGCCUUCGGGUUGUAAAGUACUUUCAGCGGGGAGGAAGGGAGUAAAGUUAAUACCUUUGCUCAUUGACGUUACCCGCAGAAGAAGCACCGGCUAACUCCGUGCCAGCAGCCGCGGUAAUACGGAGGGUGCAAGCGUUAAUCGGAAUUACUGGGCGUAAAGCGCACGCAGGCGGUUUGUUAAGUCAGAUGUGAAAUCCUCGGGCUCAACCUGGGAACUGCAUCUGAUACUGGCAAGCUUGAGUCUCGUAGAGGGGGGUAGAAUUCCAGGUGUAGCGGUGAAAUGCGUAGAGAUCUGGAGGAAUACCGGUGGCGAAGGCGGCCCCCUGGACGAAGACUGACGAUCAGGUGCGAAAGCGUGAGGAGCAAACAGG
rnacentral:rRNA from 1 species